rnacentral:sRNA from 1 species
UCAUAACAUGACUUACAAUGUCAAUAGA